GCCCGUUUAGCUCAUAUGGUUAGAGCGCUUGCCUAGUAAGCAAGAGGUGUUGAGUUCGAUUCUCAAAAUGGGCA